GGACUUGUUUGGACAUGCCUCAAGUCACCCCGAGUUUGAGCAGGUUCCAUUUCCGAAGCUCUCAUUCCAGAUCCCUGGUAAUAUCGGUAAUUAUUCAGCUAAGAAUGAAGGUCUACCGCACUAAUCCACGGAAGCAGUGGGAUCAAUGGCACGGCAUGAGGAUGAGAGUCCUACCUUGACAGUCUCCAAGGCUGUAUCCUCUCACAGGCUCCAUGAGGCUUCCAGCCACAGUAAGGAUCUCUUGAUGCAAUGCAUGACCUGGCACACAAACACAGUGAAAAACAGGCUUAAUGAUUAUGGAAAGAACAUCGUUAUCAUUUGUGACUGACUGAACAUUAACCAUACGGCCGCCUAAGGUCAAACCGCUAUAUUGCCCUUUAUGAUGUUUACGGGAAAAACGCCUCAAAUAAGGUCAAACACCUAUGAGUGACAGUACAACCCCAUGGAAUGAGCCGGU